GACGAACGCUGGCGGCGUGCCUAAUACAUGCCAGUUGAGCGCUGAAGGUUGGUACUUGUACCAACUGGAUGAGCAGCGAACGGGUGAGUAACGCGUGGGGAAUCUGCCUUUGAGCGGGGGACAACAUUUGGAAACGAAUGCUAAUACCGCAUAAAAACUUUAAACACAAGUUUUAAGUUUGAAAGAUGCAAUUGCAUCACUCAAAGAUGAUCCCGCGUUGUAUUAGCUAGUUGGUGAGGUAAAGGCUCACCAAGGCGAUGAUACAUAGCCGACCUGAGAGGGGGAUCCGCCACAUUGGGACUGAGACACGGCCCAAACCCCCACGGGAGGCCACAGGAGGGAAUCUUCGGCAAUGGACGGAAGUCUGACCGGGGAACGCCGCGGGAGUGAAGAAGGGUUUCGGAUCGUAAAACUCUGUUGGUAGAGAAGAACGUUGGUGGGAGUGGAAAGCUCAUCAAGUUACGGUAACUACCCAGAAAGGGACGGCUAACUACGUG
rnacentral:rRNA from 1 species